rnacentral:rRNA from 1 species
UACGUAGGGUGCAAGCGUUAAUCGGAAUUACUGGGCGUAAAGUGUGCGCAGGCGGCCGCGCAAGUCGAGUGUGAAAGCCCCGGGCUUAACUUGGGAAUUGCGCUCGAAACUACGUGGCUGGAGUAUGUCAGAGGAAGGUGGAAUUCCACGUGUAGCGGUGAAAUGCGUAGAGAUGUGGAGGAACACCGAUGGCGAAGGCAGCCUUCUGGGCCAAUACUGACGCUCAUGCACGAAAGCGUGGGGAGCAAACAGG